rnacentral:rRNA from 1 species
CCUACGGGAGGCAGCAGUGAGGAAUAUUGGUCAAUGGGCGAGAGCCUGAACCAGCCAAGUAGCGUGAAGGAUGACGGCCCUACGGGUUGUAAACUUCUUUUAUGCGGGAAUAAAGUUCGCCACGUGUGGCGUUUUGCAUGUACCGCAAGAAAAAGCACCGGCUAAUUCCGUGCCAGCAGCCGCGGUAAUA